rnacentral:tRNA from 1 species
AUUUCUUUAGUAUAAACAAUACCAGUGACUUCCAAUCAUUACAUCUUGGUGGAACCCCAAGAAGAAAUA